rnacentral:rRNA from 1 species
CACACCGCCCGUCACAUCAUGGGAGUUGGCUUUACCCGAAGACGGUGCGCUAACCCGCAAGGGAGGCAGCCGGCCACGGUAGGGUCAGCGACUGGGAUG